GCUUCUGUGAGCCACAGACGAGGCGUGGCUUAGGGCCAUUUGACUGUCAUCAAAGAAUUGCUUCUUCUUCAUAGGUCUGCAAAAGACAGGGCUCAUGUCAUGCUCUGUAUACACAGGCAUCUGAGUUCUCUAUUUGUAUGUAUGAUGUGAGAUCUUUUUCCGCUAUUGAGGACCUAGCUCCAAUAGUCAGGGUUCGCCUCUGACUUUAAGGCUGGUGUUAUAUCGAUUUGAUAACAAGCGCCUUGCUAAGAGUUCUUCUGGUGUUGGAGGAGGGUGGAUAUGUAAAUGUGUUUUGUGGCUAAGAAACAUGUAGAGCACAACAAAGUGUUAAACGCGCUUAAGCAAGUUUUCCAAUGAUCUUCAUCGUGGCUGUAGGUGUUGCUGUAGGAAUGGCUGUGGGAGUUUCUGUUGGUAUUGCUGUGUGUGUAAUUGCUGCAGUCGUCAUAGUACACAGUGAAAACACGAAUCAAAUUCCAGCUGAUGGCAGCCUUAGUCAACCUGUUGAAAGUAUCACCUAUGCCUUCAUCGACCACUCCAUCAACCAUUCCUCUCAGAGAAUUAACGUCGAUGGUGAAGAUGCAGUCACCUAUGUCUCAGCUAUGACCUCUUCUGAGAGAGGAAGAGAGACAGAGAACUCUGCAAACACCAGCCCUCUCUAUUCUACUGUGUAUCAACCUUACAGACCCAAGACAUCAACAUGAAGACUACACUCACUCAUUCACACAUUCUAUAAUCAGUAUACAGAUAUACAGUCAGGUCUGGAAAUAACUGGACACUGACACAAGUUUUUGACUGUUUACCAAAAUGUAUUCAAGUUACAGUUAAAUAAUGAUGAUGGGCAUAAAGUGCAGUCUCUGAGCUUAAAUCUGAGGGUGAAGGGUUUAGGAAUUGCACAUCUUUAAUAUGUAGCCCCUCCUUUUUCAAGGGACCAAAAGUCAAUGGACAUUUGACCCAAAAGCUGUUUCAUGGACAGGUGUGGGUUAUUCCUUUGGUAUUUCUAUAUAGGCAGGUAAACGGUCUGGAGUUGAUUCCAGGUGUGGCAUUCACAUUUGGAAGCUGUUGCUGUGAACCCACAUCAUGCGGUCAAAGGAGCUCUCAAUGCAAGUGAAACAGGCCAUUAGGCAGCAAAAAACUAAAAUCCAUCAGAGAGAUAGCAGGAAUAUUAAGAGUGGCCAAAUCAAUGGUUUGAUACAUUCUGAGAGAAAAAGAACAUACUGGUGAGCUCUGCAACACAAAAUGGCUCAUGAAGCAUAACAAAUCAUCUGUAAAACCCAGGGAGGGAGGGAGUGUGAUGGCAUGGGCAUGCAUGGCUUCCAGUGGCCCUGGGUCACUAGUGUUCAUUGAUGAUGUGACAGAAGACGGAAGCAGACAGAUUAAUUCUGAUGUGUGUAGGGAUAUAGUCUCCUCAGAGUCAGCUAUAUUCAGCAAAGUUGAUUGGCCGGCACUUCAAUUUACAGAUGCACAAUGACCCAAAACAUACUGUGAAAGCAACCCAGGAGAUUUUUAUGGCAAAGAAGUGGAAUAUUCUGCAAUGGCCGAGUCAAUCACCUGAUCUCAACCCAGUCGAGCAUGCAUUUCACUUGCUGAAGACAAAACAUAAGGCAGAAAGACCCACGAACAAAGAAUAACAAGACAGCUGCAGUAAAGGCCUGGCAAAACAUCACAAAGGGGGAAACUCAGCGUUUGGUGAUGUCCAUGCGUUUCAGACUUCAAGCAGUUAUUGCCUGCAAAAGAUUCUUGACAAAGUAUUAAAAAUGAGCAUCCUAUUUAUGAUUGUGAAAUUUGUCCAAUUACAUUUGAGCCUGAAAUAAGGGGAUUGUGUACAAAAAUGUUUGCAAUUCCUAAAAAUCUCUUAUGAUUUUUUUGUUCAACCCCUUGAAUUAAAGCUGAAAGUCUGCACUUCAAUUGCAUCUCAGUUGUUUCAUUUCAAAUCCAUUGUGGUGGUGUACACUGCCAGAAUUAUGAAAAUUGUGUCCACAUUUUUCUGGACCUACAUGUAUAUUUGUUGUGAUAGCAAGCUACUCAAUUUGGUUCCGGGAACAUGUGUUUUCAUUCAGUUAAGGUAGACAUGUUAGGUCAGAAGGGUGUCUGACAGAGACUGGCACAAAUUACAAUUCUUUAAUACAAUGACCAAUGUUUGUAACAUGUUUACAAAUUCAUUAAAAUGUUGUUCUAUCCAUUGAUUUGAAUGGGUCAGUAUGUCCAAACCUUUGACUGGUACUGUAUCUCAUCAAGACUGAUGAUCAGAUUUCCUUCUGAAAGUAUGUUGAUGAGUCAGGCAAGAUUUUACCUAUUAACUUGGCUUCUUUUAUAGGAAUGGUCCAUGGAUAGUGCAUUUUUGAUAAAGUAAGGAAACAAAAGUAUCUAGUCAAAAUGUAUCAUACAUAUUAGUUGACUAUAUACUUUUGUAUGAUAGCUGUUGCCUCUGCUUAAGGCAGUGAAUGACAUACACUCA
ensembl:lncRNA